AGUGAACGCUGGCGGUAGGCCUAACACAUGCAAGUCGAACGGCAGCACAGUAAGAGCUUGCUCUUACGGGUGGCGAGUGGCGGACGGGUGAGGAAUACAUCGGAAUCUACUUUUUCGUGGGGGAUAACGUAGGGAACCUUACGCUAAUACCGCAUACGACCUACGGGUGAAAGCAGGGGAUCUUCGGACCUUGCGCGAUUGAAUGAGCCGAUGUCGGAUUAGCUAGUUGGCGGGGUAAAGGCCCACCAAGGCGACGAUCCGUAGCUGGUCUGAGAGGAUGAUCAGCCACACUGGUACUGAGACACGGUCCAGACUCCUACGGGAGGCAGCAGUGGGGAAUAUUGGACAAUGGGCGCAAGCCUGAUCCAGCCAUACCGCGUGGGUGAAGAAGGCCUUCGGGUUGUAAAGCCCUUUUGUUGGGAAAGAAAAGCAGCAGGUUAAUACCCCGCUGUUCUGACGGUACCCAAAGAAUAAGCACCGGCUAACUUCGUG
rnacentral:rRNA from 1 species